AGCUGGUGUGCGCGCAGCGGUGCUUAUAACUAACUGGUGACGACCAGCUGCAGAUUCCUUUGUUCCUUCUCCGCUCCCAUGGCUUCACUUGACCAGCCUAAA
rnacentral:Y_RNA from 1 species